UUUAGUCACAAUAGCCCGAGUAGCCGC
rnacentral:sRNA from 1 species